rnacentral:rRNA from 1 species
UACGGAGGGGGCGAGCGUUAUUCGGAAUUAUUGGGCGUAAAGGGCGCGUAGGCGGCCCGGUAAGUCAAAGGUGAAAUCCCUCGGCUCAACUGAGGAACUGCCUUUGAAACUGUCGGGCUUGAGGCCGGGAGGGGGUAGCGGAAUUCCCGGUGUAGAGGUGAAAUUCGUAGAUAUCGGGAGGAACACCGGUGGCGAAGGCGGCGACCUGGGUAGAUACUGACGCUGAGGCGCGAAAGCGUGGGGAGCAAACAGG